rnacentral:rRNA from 1 species
UACGUAGGGUGCAAGCGUUGUCCGGAAUUAUUGGGCGUAAAGAGCUCGUAGGCGGUUUGUUGCGUCGGCUGUGAAAUCCCGAGGCUCAACCUCGGGUCUGCAGUCGAUACGAGCAAACUAGAGUGUUGCAGGGGAGACUGGAAUUCCUGGUGUAGCGGUGAAAUGCGCAGAUAUCAGGAAGAACACCAAUGGCGAAGGCAGCUCUCUGGGACGGUACUGACGCUGAUACGCGAAAGCGUGGGGAGCGAACAGG